rnacentral:tRNA from 1 species
GCUUCCGUGGCUCAGUUGGUUAGAGCGCAGGUCUCAUAAUCCUGAGGUCAUGAGUUCGAUCCUCAUCGGGAGCA